AGCGAGGCUGUGAAGCGGAGCAAAUCUCAAAAACCGGUCCCAGUUCGGAUUGUAGGCUGCAACUCGCCUACAUGAAGUCGGAGUUGCUAGUAAUCGCGGAUCAGAAUGCCGCGGUGAAUGCGUUCCCGGGUCUUGUACACACCGCCCGUCACACCAUGGAAGUUGGGGGCGCCCGAAGUUGCCUAAGAAAUAAGGUACCUAAGGCGAAACCAAUGACUGGGGUGAAGUCGUAACAAGGUACC
rnacentral:rRNA from 1 species